GGACUGGUCCCCGGGGAGGCCUAGUUCUCUCUUCUUUCCCGCCCCUGCCUUACCUCCACCCGGCGCCACGACCACCCAGAGUCCCGGGCUGAGAAGAGAGGAGAGCACCCACCUGGUCGGAGUCACAUGCUGCCCCGGGCCGGCCCGAGAGUCCCCUCCAGGUCCGGGCGCCCGCCGCGGUCCCCAGCCAGGCCAGGCCGCCCCGGCGCCCCACCCGCGGCCCGCCCCUGCCGCCGGACGGGAGGGAGGGACCGGCUUCUCCUAAGGAAGUUUCAGGAAUGCUGUGGCCCACAUCUCCAAUCAGCUUUUGUGGGUAGACUGUCCCCUGAUCCCUGUGUCCACCGCUGCUGCAGAAGAGGUUAAGCAGUUGUUUGGAAGGCCCUGUAGAAUCAAACGUGACCGAGGGAGAACGGCCUCCUCUCUGAUAGUCCUCAAGCAAUGCAGUGUUCAAAAAAUGCCCUAGUUCCGUCAUGCUCUUUUGAAGGAUUAAACUUUAAAGAGUUUAGCUAGCUUAGACACACUCUUAAUUG
rnacentral:lncRNA from 1 species